rnacentral:rRNA from 1 species
UAGGGAAUCUUCCACAAUGGACGAAAGUCUGAUGGAGCAACGCCGCGUGAGCGAAGAAGGUUUUCGGAUCGUAAAGCUCUGUUGCUGGAGAAGAACGAGUGCGAGAGGAAAUGCUCGUACUGUGACGGUAUCCAGCCAGAAAGCCACGGCUAACUACGUGCCAGCAGCCGCGGUAAUACGUAGGUGACAAGCGUUGUCCGGAUUUACUGGGCGUAAAGAGCGCGCAGGCGGUCGAUCAAGUCGAGUGUGAAAGCCCCCGGCUCAACUGGGGAGGGUCAUUCGAUACUGAUCGACUCGAAGGCAGGAGAGGGUAGUGGAAUUCCCGGUGUAGUGGUGAAAUGCGUAGAUAUCGGGAGGAACACCAGUGGCGAAGGCGACUACCUGGCCUGUUCUUGACGCUGAGGCGCGAAAGCUAGGGGAGCAAACGGGAUUAGAUACCCCGGUAGUCCUAGCCGUAAACGAUGGACACUAGGUGUUGGUGGUAUCAACCCCGCCAGUGCCGAAGCUAACGCAUUAAGUGUCCCGCCUGGGGAGUACGGCCGCAAGGCUA